GAUGAACGCUGGCGGCGUGCCUAAUACAUGCAAGUCGAGCGAACAGACGAGGAGCUUGCUCCUCUGACGUUAGCGGCGGACGGGAGAGUAACACGUGGAUAACCUACCUAUAAGACUGGGAUAAAUUCGGGAAACCGGAGCUAAUACCGGAUAAUAUAUUGAACCGCAUGGUUCAAUAGAGAAAGACGGUUUUGCUGUCACUUAUAGAUGGAUCCGCGGCGCAUUAGCUAGUUGUGAAGGUAACGGCUUACCAAGGCAACGAUGAGUAGCCGACCUGAGAGGAGGGUCUGCAAGGCUGGACCUGAGACGCGGUCCAGACACCAACGGGGGGCAGGAGAGCGGAAUGUUGCGCAGCGGGAGGAAGCCUGUCCGAGCGACGCGGCGAGAGUGGAGAAGGUCUGCGCUUCGUAAAGCGCUGUUAUUUGGCAAGAGCAAAAGUGUAAGUAGCGCUGCACGUUUUGCGGGUACCGGAUAAGAAGACCAGGGUAAAUUACUG
rnacentral:rRNA from 1 species